rnacentral:rRNA from 1 species
AUUGAACGCUGGCGGCAGGCCUAACACAUGCAAGUCGAACGGUAACAGGAAACAGCUUGCUGUUUCGCUGACGAGUGGCGGACGGGUGAGUAAUGUCUGUGAAACUGCCUGAUGGAGGGGGAUAACUACUGGAAACGGUAGCUAAUACCGCAUAACGUCGCAAGACCAAAGAGGGGGACCUUCGGGCCUCUUGCCAUCGGAUGUGCCCAGAUGGGAUUAGCUCGUAGGUGGGGUAACGGCUCACCUAGGCGACGAUCCCUAGCUGGUCUGAGAGGAUGACCAGCCACACGGGAACUGAGACACGGUCCAGACUCCUACGGGAGGCAGCAGUGGGGAAUAUUGCACAAUGGGCGCAAGCCUGAUGCAGCCAUGCCGCGUGUAUGAAGAAGGCCUUCGGGUUGUAAAGUACUUUCAGCGGGGAGGAAGGGAGUAAAGUUAAUACCUUUACUCAUUGACGUUACCCGCAGAAGAAGCACCGGCUAACUCCGU